rnacentral:rRNA from 1 species
AUUGAACGCUGGCGGCAGGCCUAACACAUGCAAGUCGAACGAGUGGCGGACGGGUGAGUAAUGUCUGGGAAACUGCCUGAUGGAGGGGGAUAACUACUGGAAACGGUAGCUAAUACCGCAUACCAUCAGAUGUGCCCAGAUGGGAGUAGCGUGGUGGGGGGGUAACGGCUCACCAAGGCGAAGAUCCCUAGCUGGGCUGAGAGGAUGAACGGCCACACUGGAACUGAGACGCGGUACAGACUCCGACGGGAGGCAGCAGUGGGGAAUAUUGCACAAGGGGCGCAAGCCUGGUGCAGCCAUGCCGCGUGUAUGAAGAGGGCCGUCGGGUUGUAAAGUACUGUCAGCGGGGAGGCGUUACCCGCAGAAGAAGCACCGGCUAACUCCGUGCCAGCCGCCGCGGUAAUAC